AUGUUUUGUCCUGUGCCUUUUACUGCUCCCCUGUGCUGAGUCUCAGCAGGGUAGUCUGGCAGGACACACAGUAAUUUCCCUCUCAGUUUAGGAGGGCUGUCCUAAGUAUAGGGCCAGCUCUUAAAGGCACGAGAGGACAGU
rfam:Mesocricetus auratus contig230017, whole genome shotgun sequence.